UACGUAGGGUGCGAGCGUUAAUCGGAAUUACUGGGCGUAAAGCGUGCGUAGGCGGUUCGUUAAGUCCGUUGUGAAAGCCCCGAGCUCAACCUGGGAAUGGCAAUGGAUACUGGCAAGCUAGAGUGCGGUAGAGGGUAGUGGAAUUCCCGGUGUAGCGGUGAAAUGCGUAGAGAUCGGGAGGAACACCAGUGGCGAAGGCGGCUACCUGGACCAGAACUGACACUGCGGCACGAAAGCGUGGGGAGCAAACAGG
rnacentral:rRNA from 1 species